GCAUGCGAUCCUGAGCACAUAGCGAACUAUUCUUUCGUCUUUUAUUAAAGAAUACCGUGAGCUCGUUGCAUAUAGCGGCAUAUGCCUAUUUUUGGAGGGUUCUUUAUUUUGAAAUU